GAGUGGACUGUCAAACGGUGGAUUGCUCCUCCGCGGCUGCAAGAUGGGAGACCCCUCAUCAAUGAUUUUUCUGGGGUUGUACGCUGUGGAGAGAUUAUGUUGGUAUUGGGGCGUCCAGGUGCAGGCUGUUCGACGUUUUUGCGAACUAUAGCAAACCACCACUCCUCAUUUUUAGGCGUGACCGGGUCGCUUGAUUAUUCCGGGCUCAAGCCGAAGGAUAUUUCGAAAUAUUUCAGGGGCGAGGUUGUUUAUAUCCCGGAAGAGGAUAAUCACUUUCCCACUUUGACUGCGCGCCAGACAUUGGAAUUUGCCUUGGAAACCAAGACUCCAAAAAGAUUAAGGCAUAGAAUCUCGGAGAUGUUGGAGAUAUAUGGUCGAGUUUUCGGCAUAUCUCACGCUAUGGACACUCUUGUUGGAAAUGAAUAUAUCCGCGGUAUUUCCGGAGGUGAAAGGAAACGGCUGUCAAUAGUCGAGUCUUUGGCCACUGAUUCGGCCGUCGCUGCGUGGGACAAUUCUACUAGGGGUUUGGAUGCUGCCGCUGCAGUCGAUUAUGCUCGCAGCCUUCGAAUCAUGACGGAUACUUGUGGCAAAGCGACCAUCGUGACGCUCUACCAGGCAUCUGACGCCGUUUACAACUUUGCCGAUAGGGUUAUGAUCAUCGAUGAAGGCCGUAUGUUAUACCAGGGGCCUGCGAACAAAGCCAAGUCAUAUUUCGAGAACUUGGGCUACAAGUGUCAUCCUAGACAAACGAUCACCGAUUUCCUGACUGGUAUAACAUCUGACCGAACGAGAGCUUUUCGGGAUG
rnacentral:sRNA from 2 species